rnacentral:rRNA from 1 species
UACAGAGGUCUCAAGCGUUGUUCGGAUUCAUUGGGCGUAAAGGGUGCGUAGGCGGCGGGGCAAGUCUGGUGUGAAAUCCCGGGGCUCAACUCCGGAACUGCACUGGAUACUGCCUUGCUAGAGUACUGGAGAGGGAACUGGAAUUUACGGUGUAGCAGUGAAAUGCGUAGAGAUCGUAAGGAAGGCCAGUGGCGAAGGCGAGUUCCUGGACAGUUACUGACGCUGAGGCACGAAGGCCAGGGGAGCAAACGGG